rnacentral:rRNA from 1 species
UACCAGCUCUCCGAGUUGUAGGGAUGAUUAUUGGGCUUAAAGCGUCCGUAGCUGGCUUAGCAAGUCUCCUGUUAAAUUCAGCGACCUAAUCGUUGAGCCGCGGGAGAUACUACUAGGCUAGGAGGCGGGAGAGGUCGACGGUACUUUCGGGGUAGUGGUGAAAUCCUAUAAUCCCGGGAGGACCACCAGUGGCGAAGGCUGUCGACUAGAACGCGCUCGACGGUGAGGGACGAAAGCUGGGGGAGCGAACCGGAUUAGAUACCCGGGUAGUCCCAGCUGUAAACUAUGCGGGCUAGGUGUUGGGGUGGCUACGGGCCACUUCAGUGCCGCAGGAAAGCCAUUAAGCCCGCCGCCUGGGGAGUACGGCCGCAAGGCUGAAACUUAAGGAAUUGGCGGGGGAGCACCACAAGGCGUGAAGCUUGCGGUUC